rnacentral:rRNA from 1 species
UACGUAGGGGGCUAGCGUUGUCCGGAAUCAUUGGGCGUAAAGCGCGUGUAGGCGGCCCGGUAAGUCCGCUGUGAAAGUCGGGGGCUCAACCCUCGAAUGCCGGUGGAUACUGUCGGGCUAGAGUACGGAAGAGGCGAGUGGAAUUCCUGGUGUAGCGGUGAAAUGCGCAGAUAUCAGGAGGAACACCCAUUGCGAAGGCAGCUCGCUGGGACGUUACUGACGCUGAGACGCGAAAGCGUGGGAGCAAACAGG